rnacentral:rRNA from 1 species
AACGAACGCUGGCGGCAUGCCUAACACAUGCAAGUCGAACGAGACCUUCGUGUCUAGUUGCGCACGGGUGCGUCACGCGUGGGAACCUGCCCUUAGGCUCGGGAUAACUCCCCGUAGGGGGUGCUAAUACCGGAAAAUGUAUGCUAACCAAAGAUUUAACGCGUUUGGUAGGGCACGCGUUGGAUUAGCAAGUUGGGAGGGUAAAAGCCUACGACGGCGUGGAUCGAUAGCUGGUCUGAGAGGCAGGUCAGCCACACUGGGACGGAGACACGGCCGAGACUCCUACGGGAGGGAGGAGUGGGUGAUCUAGGAAAAUCGGGGAAAGGAUGAUCGAGCACGGCCUGGAGAGUGCUGAAGGUCUGAGAGUUGUAAAGCUCUUUUACCCGCGAUGAUAAUGACAGUACCGAAAGAAUAAGCUCCGGCUAACUCCGUG